AUUGAACGCUGGCGGCAUGCCUUACACAUGCAAGUCGAACGGUAACAGGUUAAGCUGACGAGUGGCGAACGGGUGAGUAAUGUAUCGGAACGUGCCCAGUCGUGGGGGAUAACUGCUCGAAAGAGCGGCUAAUACCGCAUACGACCUGAGGGUGAAAGCGGGGGAUCGCAAGACCUCGCGCGAUUGGAGCGGCCGAUAUCAGAUUAGGUAGUUGGUGAGGUAAAGGCUCACCAAGCCGACGAUCUGUAGCUGGUCUGAGAGGACGACCAGCCACACUGGGACUGAGACACGGCCCAGACUCCUACGGGAGGCAGCAGUGGGGAAUUUUGGACAAUGGGCGCAAGCCUGAUCCAGCCAUGCCGCGUGCCGGAAGAAGGCCUUCGGGUUGUAAACCGCUUUUGUCAGGGAAGAAAAGGUUCUGGCUAAUACCUGGGACUCAUGACGGUACCUGAAGAAUAAGCACCGGCUAACUACGUGCCAGCAGCCGCGGUAACAC
rnacentral:rRNA from 1 species